UACAGAGGUCUCAAGCGUUGUUCGGAUUCAUUGGGCGUAAAGGGCGCGUAGGCUGCGGGGCAAGUCGGGUGUGAAAUCUCAGAGCUCAACCUCUGAAACUGCACUCGAUACUGCUUUUUGCUUGAGGACUGGAGAGGAGAUUGGAAUUCACGGUGUAGCAGUGAAAAUGCGUAGAUAUCGUGAGGAAGACCAGUGGCGAAGGCGGAUCUCUGGACAGUUCCUGACGCUGAGGCGCGAAGGCCAGGGGAGCAAAACGGGG
rnacentral:rRNA from 1 species